AUUUAAAUGUAAGAGGAUUUAAUUUAUGUAAUUAAUAUAUAUAUAUUUUAAAGUGAAUUUUAUGGUAGUUAUUAUUCCAAUAAUUAUGGACUCAUGGUGAUUAUAUAUUUUGAUGAUAACACUUAAAAAGUAUAGCUAAAAUUAAUGUUACAUUUUUUUAUUUGUUUGUAUUAAAAAAUAUAAUUUUAAUUC